UACGGAGGGGGCUAGCGUUGUUCGGAAUUACUGGGCGUAAAGCGCACGUAGGCGGCUUUGUAAGUUAGAGGUGAAAGCCCGGGGCUCAACUCCGGAAUUGCCUUUAAGACUGCAUCGCUAGAAUUGUGGAGAGGUAAGUGGAAUUCCGAGUGUAGAGGUGAAAUUCGUAGAUAUUCGGAAGAACACCAGUGGCGAAAGCGACUUACUGGACACAUAUUGACGCUGAGGUGCGAAAGCGUGGGGAGCAAACAGG
rnacentral:rRNA from 1 species